AGCUUUGCACAGUGGCAGUAUCGUAGCCAAUGAGGUUUAUCCGAGGCGCGAUUAUUGCUGAUUGAAAAUUUUUCCCAAUACCCCGCCUCGACGAUUUAAAAUAUAGUCGGCAAUAGAUUCUGAAAGGGAUUUAGUAAAGGAUUGUAUGAUAAAAUGGGCACAAAAUAUUC